rnacentral:rRNA from 1 species
CUACGGGUCGCACCAGUGAGGAAUAUUGCACAAUGGGGGGAACCCUGAUGCAGCAACGCCGCGUGGAGGAUGACGCAUUUCGGUGUGUAAACUCCUUUUAUAUGUCAAGAAAAUGACGGUAGCAUAUGAAUAAGCACCGGCUAUCUCCGUGCCAGCAGCCGCGGUAAUACGGAGGGUGCAAGCGUUACUCGGAAUCACUGGGCGUAAAGGACGCGUAGGCGGGUUGGAAAGUCAGGUGUGAAAUCCUACAGCUUAACUGUAGAACUGCACUUGAAACUUCUAAUCUAGAGUAUGGGAGGGGGAGAUGGAACUAGUGGUGUAGGGGUAAAAUCCGUAGAUAUCACUAGGAAUACCUAAAGCGAAGGCGAUCUCCUGGAACAUUACUGACGCUAAGGCGUGAAAGCGUGGGGAGCGAACAGGAUUAGAUACCCCUGUAGUC